rnacentral:tRNA from 1 species
GGGGAUAUAGCUCAGUUGGUAGAGUGUUGCCUUUGCACGGCAAGUGUUAGCGGUUCGAAUCCGCUUAUCUCCA